AUUGAACGCUGGCGGCAUGCCUUACACAUGCAAGUCGAACGGCAGCGCGGACUUCGGUCUGGCGGCGAGUGGCGAACGGGUGAGUAAUAUAUCGGAACGUACCCUGUUGUGGGGGAUAACUUGUCGAAAGAUUAGCUAAUACCGCACACGACCUGAGGGUGAAAGUGGGGGACCGCAAGGCCUGACGGAUCAGGAGCGGCCGAUGUCUGAUUAGCUAGUUGGUGGGGUAAAGGCCCACCAAGGCGACGAUCAGUAGCUGGUCUGAGAGGACGAUCAGCCACACUGGGACUGAGACACGGCCCAGACUCCUACGGGAGGCAGCAGUGGGGAAUUUUGGACAAUGGGGGCAACCCUGAUCCAGCAAUGCCGCGUGUGUGAAGAAGGCCUUCGGGUUGUAAAGCACUUUUGUCCGGAAAGAAAUCGCGCUGGUUAAUACCUGGCGUGGAUGACGGUACCGGAAGAAUAAGCACCGGCUAACUACGUGCCAGCCGCCGCAGUAA
rnacentral:rRNA from 1 species